rfam:Strongylocentrotus purpuratus Contig55500_fixed, whole genome shotgun sequence.
GAGAACUUUUAUUCCGAGAAGUGGAAUGACGGAGUAACGCCCCGAAACGCUUCCCCUAAAGCUACGACGUGCAUUGAAAGAUGUGUUUAUUUCUUUGUACGAGGCUCGUUAAGGUCGGCAGAAGUUUGCCGUAAAUUCAUUUUUAUAAAUGAAAUGCGAAAAGGCGCUGGAGGCAGUGUCCGUAGAUGAUAUGCCGGGGGUCAUAAAA